rnacentral:rRNA from 1 species
GCCUACGGUAGCGAAAUUCCUUGUCGGGUAAGUUCCGACCUGCACGAAUGGCGUAACGAUGGCCACACUGUCUCCCCCAGAGACUCAGUGAAAUUGAAAUCGCUGUGAAGAUGCAGUGUACCCGCGGUUAGACGGUAAGACCCCGUGAACCUUUACUAUAGCUUUGCACUGGACUUUGAAUAGUUAUGGGUAGGAUCGGUGGGAGACCAUGUAGCAGCUACGCCAGUCGUU